rnacentral:snoRNA from 1 species
GUGCAAUGAUGAACAUUGAACUCUCUCACUGAAGAAUUCAUGUGGUCUACCUACAUUAUCAGAGCAUG